GACGAACGCUGGCGGCGUGCCUAAUACAUGCAAGUAGAACGCUGAAGAGAGGAGCUUGCUCUUCUUGGAAGAGUUGCGAACGGGUGAGUAACGCGUAGGUAACCUGCCUUGUAGCGGGGGAUAACUAUUGGAAACGAUAGCUAAUACCGCAUAACAAUGGGUGACCCAUGUCAUUCAUUUGAAAGGGGCAACUGCUCCACUACAAGAUGGACCUGCGUUGUAUUAGCUAGUAGGUGAGGUAACGGCUCACCUAGGCGACGAUACAUAGCCGACCUGAGAGGGUGAUCGGCCACACUGGGACUGAGACACGGCCCAGACUCCUACGGGAGGCAGCAGUAGGGAAUCUUCGGCAAUGGGGGCAACCCUGACCGAGCAACGCCGCGUGAGUGAAGAAGGUUUUCGGAUCGUAAAGCUCUGUUGUAAGUCAAGAACGAGUGUGAGAGUGGAAAGUUCACACUGUGACG
rnacentral:rRNA from 1 species